UUAUUUCAAAUUCAAAAUUAAGACACUCUUUCUCAUAGUUAUAGACGAAUGAACAUGAUUAAAUCCCACCUCCCAUACUCUCUUAUCAGUGUUUCUCUCACUGUGCUCCCUCACUUCUUCAGGUCGUCUCCUUCACCGUCAAAGACGCAGCCACCGUUAAUCUGCGCCGUCGUCGUCUUUGACCGAAGCAACCCUUUCUUACUCUCAUUACGCAAACAUAUCUCCUUCCUACGCUGAUCUAAACCUGAAACCUUCAUUGGAUCGAACUCUAAAUCUGGCGCGACGUCUUCGGUUUUGGUUCGUGGAGCUCUGUUUCGUGCUUCCACCCUUUUCAUGUUCGGUUCUGCAGUGAAAUUGAGCUGCUGAUUCCGGGCUACAAGUAGUGUCCGACGUCGAGCUCAGGCUUCAAAAGAGAUGGAUCCAUAAGAGAGAUGAUACGCCCAAAGCAAAAAAUGGUGUUUUUGGAAAGAAUGAACAAGACCUGUGCAUCGACCCAUCACAGAGUGAUUAAAAUUAGGGAUGUUAUGGAAGGGGUUAAGAGAAAAGACAUUGAGGAUUAUGAGACAUGGAGACAUGGUGUGAAGAUCAACAAGACCUUGGACAUUGUUGGGCCUUUACUCACUGGAAUUGCUGCAUGAACAGAUUUAAUUUGAUCCUUCUUCAUUAUUGGAUCGCUUCCACCGGUGUGCCUUCACACUUCUUCUUGGUUCAAUUUCAGGUAUGAUUAGUCAUUCAAAUGAUUAUGUUCUACUGCACCAUGAAUGAACUUCACUUUUCUUUCUCACAUAGGAAGCUAUGGAUGGUUAUUCUGUGUGAUGCUGAUAUUCCAGUUAUCAUUGUCUCUUAUUGAAGGAAACUGUUCGAAAUCUUGGGUUAUGGGCAUGUAUUGUCUUUGUGUUUUCUGUUUUUGAUUAUGUUGCAUAUCAAUGUAGUUUUAAUAUAUUGCUCUUGAUAUGUGUUAACAGGUUGAAGGGUCAUCUUUUUAAUGUGUUCAAGGAAUUUACUCGAAUUUAUUAUAAUGCCAGCAGGCUGAUUGUUCUUUAAUGUUCACUGCUUUGUUUAGUGACCAGUUAUUGCAUGGUGGAGCUGAUUGUGGUGUGGAGAGUGACAAUAUUGAUUGGACCACGAAAGAUGAACUUCAUAUUGAAAUCUUUCUGUUUUCAUCUUUAUGUUAAAUAAUUUCUAAUGGAGAAACUAUUACUGGGCGUGGAGAGGCAAGCUUUUAGGUAGUAUAGAGAGAUAGGAAAUUGCAGGGCAUGCCAAUAUGAUAUUGAGCAAUACCGCAACAAGAAAAUCUGGAAUUACAAUGGUGUUUUUGUAGAUCGAAAACCAACACUCUGGGGUGUUUAUGAAACCACAAUUGCUGAGCAGAUGUAUUAAAUUAUAAACUCAAUUUUGAAUAUCAGUUGUUUUAAGUUAUGUUCAAAUCCAUAGAGUUCGUUUGAA